CGUUUGUUCCAACUGCUGCCAUGUGCUCACAGAAAGCUGCUAUUCUACCAGGCACUGCAGCGUAUUUACCCUUCCCUUCUUGCUGACACCCCGGUCCCUCCCUCCCACCUGACACAGGGAACACGUGGGAAAGGCAGUGCCAAGGAACCAUCUGACACACAGAUUUCACCCAAACCAAAGUGACCCUCACAGAUGUGAGGCUGCAGCCCAGGCCAGUCAGCAUGGCCUGGUAACUGAGAUGGGAAGAGAAUUCUCCACAUUCUGUUCGCACAACGACCUUGGAUAACUUGGCUCUGUUCUUGUGGGAUUUGGAGCUCUGCUCCCGGAUGGAUGUGAGAUGAGAGUGCCGGUUCCAUAUGGACAAUAAACUAAUGGACUGUAUUUCAAAGCCAUCUGACUGCAAGAAGCCCAGAUCUGUGCUGCUCCUCCGCACUGCACUGCAGGGUGAGCUUGUGCUAUGCCUGCUGUCAGGGCAAGGCCUGGCCCUGACUGUCACCACGGCCACAACAUGGCCACCCAACUGCAGGGAAAGCUUGCAAUUACCAAGGGAUACUCCUUAAAAGUGCUUUAACAACAGAAUCUGUCUGAAGCACAGGAUAAUCACAUUUUUAAAUUGACUCCGGGGUCAUUAAAAUCAAGCAAUUCCGUUCCA